GUUUUUAUAGUUGAAUACAACAAUAGUUUUUCAGAUUAUAGGUCAGGGUUAGAACCCCUGUAAAAACU
rnacentral:tRNA from 1 species